rnacentral:rRNA from 2 species
UAAAAAGGGCGCAUGGCGGAUGCCUUGGCUCUCGGAGGCGAUGAAGGACGUGAUAAGCUGCGAUAAGCUUUGGGGAGGUGCAAAUGACCUUUGAUCCAGAGAUUUCCGAAUGGGACAACCCAAUAUCUUGAAGAGGUAUUAUCUUACUAUGUAAGAGGCUAACGCAGGGAACUGAAACAUCUUAGUACCUGCAGGAAAAGAAAAUAAACAAUGAUUCCCCCAGUAGUGGCGAGCGAACGGGGAACAGCCCAAACCAUCCAUGUUACGGCAUGGGUGGGGUUGUAGGACUACGCCGUUGCAUGAAGACAUCAGAGAAGAACUUUCUGGAAAGAAAGACCAUAGAGCAUGACAGUUGCGUAUUCGAAUGUUGUCGAAGCAUAGUAGUAUCCUGAGUAGCGCGGAGCACGAGGAAUUCUGCGUGAAUCUGCCGGGACCAUCCGGUAAGGCUAAAUACUCCCGAGAGACCGAUAGCGAACCAGUACCGUGAGGGAAAGGUGAAAAGCACUUCGAACAGAAGAGUGAAAUAGUUCCUGAAACCGUGCGCCUACAAGCGGUCGGAGCUCGUUAAUGAGUGACGGCGUGCCUUUUGCAUAAUGAACCUACGAGUUGCCUUUGCCGGCAAGGUUAAGUGUGACGACACACGUAUCCGAAGCGAAAGCGAGUCUGAACAGGGCGUAUAGUCGGCAGUGGCAGACGCGAAACCAAGUGAUCUACCCUUGGCCAGGUUGAAGGCUGGGUAACACCAGCUGGAGGACCGCACCAAUAAGCGUUGAAAAGCUUCUGGAUGAGCUGAGGGUAGGGGUGAAAGGCUAAUCAAACUUGGAGAUAGCUCGUACUCCCCGAAAUGCAUUUAGGUGCAGCCUUGCGGGUUACUGAUGUGAGGUAGAGCGACUGAUAAGAUGCGAGGGCUUCACCGCCUAUCAAGUCUUGACAAACUCCGAAUGCGCAUCAGUUCUACCGCAGGAGUGAGGGCAUGGGUGCUAAGGUCCGUGCCCGAGAGGAGAAGAAUCCGGACCACCUGCUAAGGUCCCGAAAUGACAGCUAAGUUAAACUAACGAAGUCUGACUGCUAAGACAGCUAGGAUGUUGGCUUGGAAGCAGCCAUUCAUUUAAAGAGUGCGUAACAGCUCACUAGUCGAGGAGUCGGGCGUGGAUAAUAAUCGGGUAUCAAGUUGUCUACCGAAGCAGUGGGAUCAUUAAUAUGAUCGGUAGGGGAGCAUUCCAGUCAGCGUCGAAGGCGUACCGUGAGGUAUUCUGGAGCGUCUGGAAAAGCAAAUGUAGGUAUAAGUAACGAUAAAGGGGCGGGAAACCCCCUCGCCGAAAGACUAAGGUUUCCUGAUCAACGCUAAUCGGAUCAGGGUCAGUCGGGUCCUAAGGCUCAGCCGAACGGCGAUGCCGAUGGCAGAAACGGUUAAUAUUCCGUUACUACCUUCAGGAGUGACGUGGAGACGCAGUAGUGACAGUGCCGCCAUCUGACGGAAUAGAUGGUUGAAGGGUGUAGGAGUCGAUCAUGGCAGGCAAAUCCACCAUGAGAUCCGAACCUGACAGUAUGCCGCGUCCUUCGGGACAAGGCAAUAGUGCGCGUAAGCAUGCUGCCGAGAAAAUCCGCUAAACUUAAUCCUGCAGGUACCCGUACCGCAAACGGACACACGUAGUCGGGAUGAAUAUUCUAAGGCGCUUGAGUGAUUCACGGUUAAGGAACUAGGCAAACUGACCCUGUAACUUCGGGAUAAAGGGUCCCUACCCUUUUAUGGGAGGGCGCAGAGAAUCGGUCCAGGCAACUGUUUAACAAAAACACAGGGCUGUGCCAAAUCGAAAGAUCCAGUAUACAGCCUGACACCUGCCCGGUGCUGGAAGGUUAAGAGGAGAUGUCAUCGAUAAGAGAAGCGUUGAAUUGAAGCCCCAGUAAACGGCGGCCGUAACUAUAACGGUCCUAAGGUAGCGAAAUUCCUUGUCGGGUAAGUUCCGACCUGCACGAAUGGUGUAAUGAUCUGGACGCUGUCUCAACCGUGAGCUCAGUGAAAUUGUAGUAUCGGUGAAGAUGCCGAUUACCCGCGAUGGGACGAAAAGACCCCGUGAACCUUUACUAUAGCUUAUCAUUGAAUCUGGGCACGUGAUGUGUAGGAUAGGUCGGAGGCUUUGAAGCAGGUACGCCAGUAUUUGUGGAGCCGCUGUUGAAAUACGACCCUUUAUUUGUUUGGAUUCUAACCCGUGGAACGGGGACAUUGAUUGGUGGGUAGUUUGACUGGGGUGGUCGCCUCCAAAAGCGUAACGGAGGCUUCUAAAGGUGCCCUCCGGCCGAUUGGUAACCGGCCUUAGAGUGUAAUGGCAUAAGGGCGCUUGACUGGGAGACUAACAAGUCGAUCAGGUAGGAAACUAGAGCAUAGUGAUCCGGUGUUUCCGUAUGGAAGGGACAUCGCUCAAAGGAUAAAAGGUACUCCGGGGAUAACAGGCUGAUCCCUCCCAAGAGCUCAUAUCGACGGAGUGGUUUGGCACCUCGAUGUCGGCUCGUCACAUCCUGGGGCUGGAGAAGGUCCCAAGGGUUGGGCUGUUCGCCCAUUAAAGUGGCACGCGAGCUGGGUUCAGAACGUCGUGAGACAGUUCGGUCUCUAUCUAUCGUGGGCGCAUGAAAUUUGCGUGGCUCUGACACUAGUACGAGAGGACCGUGUUGGACAGACCUCUGGUUUGCCGGUUGUGCCGCCAGGUGCAUUGCCGGGUAUCUAAGUCUGGAUCGGAUAAGUGCUGAAAGCAUCUAAGUACGAAGCCGGCCACAAGAUUAGAUUUCUCAGGGUCGUUGUAGACUACGACGUUGAUAGGAUGCAGGUGUAA